rnacentral:rRNA from 1 species
AUGGUUGAUUUCCCUGCCCCCCCUGGACCAACAAGGGAGACGACAGUGAGGUCCUUGUUCUCCGAGUCAAGCAGUUCAUCUUUGACCUGGUUGAUUUCGCUGUCAAAGCCAAUGACAUUGACCUCAUCCCCGAGAUCCGGAAGCGUCAGUCUCCUAGCGCGUAGAGUCUCGUUCUCAUCCAUACUGUAUCUUGUCUCAUUCAGAGACGCUUGCAGUGGACGGGGUAACAGGCGCCCUUGGAUAUGGCACCCAAGAGGGACGGCGGUCUGCUGUUCUCCCUGGCCAAGAUGCUGGCCGUGUCGAUGA